GCUGCUUAAAGGCAACCCCGCUGAAAGGCGGGCAACGCAAAGUCACGGGUCUAACGGGCGCAUGCCCUAUGACAGCCGGACUGCCGAU
rfam:Luminiphilus syltensis NOR51-B scf_1109846220923 genomic scaffold, whole genome shotgun sequence.